CGCGCUGCUCUAGGUCCCGGCAUGCCCAAUGCGGGCAGGGGGAGGCUCCGGCCAAUUUGAAUGAAGACUAGAGCUUUCGGCGCCAUUUUCGAGUGAGCCGCUAUAGCAACAACAGCUACCCAGAGAGGCUCCGCAAUGUAGUUCAGUAUUACGAGCAAGGGGAACACACUUUUCGACUGUUCCGGAGAACAAAAGCAGGAAUUUUUCUCUAAAAUUUUCCACAAAUUUCAGCAUCUUGUUUCAGGCGGAUAAUUACUGGACACACGGAAGACACCGUAAAGUGACAACAAAUAGUGAAGUGGCGACUGAAGUGAGCUAGCAGGCUAAUCCGGCUAGCAUUUCCAGCUGAGAAGGGGCGUCCGACCGGAGCCGCGCUGUGGAAACGAAAUAUUAUAAUUUUUAUUUUCAAAAAAAUCCAACAAAUACGCGGAUGAUGUGAAAAAUCUGUAAAAAAUCGAAAAAUUAGAGCAGGAGACGAGGAAUGGAUUUGUGUGGGUUGUUUGAUGGAGUGAGGUGGUUUUGUGCAUUUUUUAAACGUUGAGUUUGAGCGGGAUUGGUGAUGUGAGUGAGACGGCCGGCGAGCUCGACAGCCUAUCAGCGAGCGAUACACGGGACCCCACACCGACCAACAUUGUCAUACUCUUUACUACAUUUUGCCUAUUUUUUCAGUAAAAUAACCAAGGGUGACCUACGUGCCUGUUUUUUCCUCUUUUUGGGCUUUUACUAUAUAUUGUGCGCCGACAGAUUUUUACAUUUCAAACAGUUUUUAAUGGAUUUACAAAGAUGACUGUUCAGGUGUUUUGAAUUUGCCUGAUGGUGAUGUCAGGAUACAGAAGACAAUUCACGACGAAGUCCUGAAAUACCUCAAGUCCUACGGAGAGAGAGAGAGAGGAAGAGGAGUCACUCGCUUGUGAUUCUGGCAGUGCAUAUUCAUGUUGCGGAGGGUGUGAGUGUGUAUGAUUGAGAGAGAGAGAGACCCUCCCUAGGUGAUGGUGUAGCAGCACAGAAUGGUUUGUGGUGAUACAGAGAUGCAGGCCGUGAUGUGCUGCAGCAUCAAUU